CUGAGGCAUCUGUGGCCCUGGAUAAGGCCGUGCCAGAGCAGGUACAUCUCAGCAUCUGUGGCCAUGGUGUCUGUGCCACAGCAGCUGGACUCCGAAGGGAUUGUGGCCCAAGGGAAUUACUGCAGCAGGAAUCACCCAAACCAGUGGAGGACAAGCCUUACAGGAAGCAGUGCAAGUGCAGCAGUGACCUGACGUGACCUGCCUUGGUGCCCGGUGACUCCACGCAGCACACCACAUCUCCUGUCCUGACCAAAGCCAGGGACUAAACAAUCUCAAAGGACAUUUUGUGGAUGUCUGUGGAUGCUUGACAGACAUUUCACAGGACUGAUCCAUAGACUAAGGAAAUGAUCCUGUGUGUUAUAUCAAAGGAUGGUGACAGUGGUGGUGGGUAAUGAGGAUGUACUGGAGAGUGUGGGACCUGAGCAUGAUGUAAAUUGUAUGGAAUCAGGAAUGGAGAAUAUGCUGGUUUUGGCUGGGAGGAGCUAGGAUUCAUCAUAGGAGCUAGUGUGGAGCUAUAGUUUGGUUUUGUGUGGAGAACAGCGUUAGUAACACAGGGAUGUGUUUGUUACAGCUGAUCAGGGCUGAUGCAGAGUCAGGGCCCUUUCUGCCUCUCACCCCACCAGAGACAGGGCUGGAAGGGGACACAGCUGGGACAGCUGAUCCCAAAGGGAUAUCCCAGACCAUAUGGCAUCAUGCUCAGCAUAUAAAGCUGGGGGAAGAAGAAGGAAUGUUUGGAAUUAUGUGGUUUGUCCUCCCAAGUCACCAUUACAUGUGACUGAGCCCUGCUAUCAUGGGGAUGGCUGAACACCUGCCUGCCCAUGGGUGGUGACGAAUGGAUUCCCUGUUGUACUUUGCUGGUGUGCAUGGCUUUUGCUUUACCUGUUAGACUGUCUUGAUAUCAACCUAUAAACCUCACUUCUCCAAAUCUCUCCCCCAUCCCAGUCAGGGGGGAGUGAGCAAGUGACUGUGGUGGAAGGAAAGAGAAAUACUCUUCAAUAACAUGCCUGGAAACUGUCCAGAGAGCACCCAGACAAAACCUCCCAGCAGCAGGGGAGUAAAUGCAGUGCCUUAGAGAUGCCUCUCCCUAAUUCUUAGGGAAUAAAUCAAUGCCUGGGAGGCAGCUUCCUGUGGUUCAGCUGCAAAAAGAACCCCACAAGGCUAUUUGGGAAUUACCACCCGUGAUUUUUUGUAGCUACAAAUCUCAAUACAAAGAAUUUUAAGUAUUAUUUAUUCCUUGCAGGGAGAAAUAGCAGCUUGCUGGCUGGAGGCAUACUUGUUUAUUUAAUAUGUGCCGUUUGCAAAACCUCUCGUUAAGCAUCCUGAGCACAUUACUAACAGGUCACAUCUUACAGAUGAUGCAUUAUUUGUCACUUUUCUCCUCUCUUUAAGGGUUGUAUUUUUUAACUUCCUGGUGAAUUUUCUGCUGGACUAAACCUGAAAUAAGUUAGAAAUUCAAGGAAAUCAGCCCAAUUCCAACCUUUGCUAUUCAGUGUUACUUCAGAUGUUUGAAAUUAAAUGGAGAAUGGUUGCUGGAGGGA